UACGUAGGGGGCAAGCGUUGUCCGGAAUUAUUGGGCGUAAAGUAGCGUGUGAGGCGGUCCGGUAAGUCAGCUGUGAAAGUCAAGGGCUCAACCCUUGAAAGCCGGUUGAUACUGUCGGGCUAGAGUCCGGAAGAGGCGUAGUGGAAUUCCCGGUGUAGCGGUGAAAUGCGCAGAUAUCGGGAGGAACACCAGUAGCGAAGGCAGCUCGCUGGGCCAUACCUGACGCUGAGACGCGAAAGCGUGGGGAGCGAACAGG
rnacentral:rRNA from 1 species